GUGGGGAAUAUUCCGCAAUGGACGAAAGUCUGACGGAGCAACGCCGCGUGAGUGAUGAAGGUUUUCGGACUGUAAAGCUCUGUUGUUUAGGACGAAAGUGCCUGUUGCGAAUAGUUACAGGUAUUGACGGUACUGAACGAGGAAGCCACGGCUAACUACGUGCCAGCAGCCGCGGUAAUACGUAGGUGGCAAGCGUUGUCCGGAAUUAUUGGGCGUAAAGAGCAUGUAGGCGGGAAUCUAAGUCUGUUGUGAAAAUGCGGGGCUCAACCCCGUAUUGCGAUGGAAACUGGGUUUCUUGAGUGCAGGAGAGGAAAGGGGAAUUCCCAGUGUAGCGGUGAAAUGCGUAGAUAUUGGGAGGAACACCAGUGGCGAAGGCGCCUUUCUGGACUGUGUCUGACGCUGAGAUGCGAAAGCCAGGGUAGCGAACGGGAUUAGAAACCCGAGUAGUCC
rnacentral:rRNA from 1 species